rfam:Hyphopichia burtonii NRRL Y-1933 unplaced genomic scaffold HYPBTscaffold_2, whole genome shotgun sequence.
GUUACAGUGGCCGAGCGGUUAAGGCGAUGCCCUGCUAAUUACCAAGUUAGCUGUUAGGCAUUGGGUUUUACCUUCGCAGGUUCGAAUCCUGUCUGUAACG